rnacentral:lncRNA from 1 species
GAAAAGAGUUUGGAGCGAAUUUGACAGGUUCAGCCAAAUGCCUUCAUCUCUGAUGAGCACAGCCGUUUGAACCACACCUCCUCCUGGGUGGCUGCCAGCUUACGGAUGAGUUCUCCUGGGAUUAGGUUCCAAUCCCACAGCCAGUCAAUGAUCAGACCCUUGGAUCAGCUACUGUGGCUUCCCUGCCAAGCACUGGGGAAUAGGGCUGAGGAAACAGUUUGAGCUAAAGGUACCAGAUGCUGAUUCAGAUGAAUCUGAAGUGGCCCCAGCUACCAAGCACUUCAUAAUGUGGCUAAAAUGAAACUGGAAACAGUUUCACAAUGGAUAGUAGACCCUAAUAAAAGCACUCUGUAAGAUGGGACCUAAAAGCUUGCUGUGUAUGUGCAUUUGGGUUGCUAAGAUACUUUCUUCGUUUCUGGCGGUGUCACCAGGGAGAGGACAAGAAUCCAAACUGAGGUGUAAGAAGGGCAGAAAUACAUGGUGAUUUCUCUGCAAAAUUCAGUAGAACAGUUUUACUCAAAUAAUGAUUCUUGGGCCAUCUGCCUCAGAGUCUGUGGAGAUAAGUUCCGAAAAUCUGCAUUUUAAAUAAGCUGGAGCGCAUUUGAUCAGAGCCGGCUGUGAUUUUUUGCGGCUGCCUGGAUUACUGGGACUGAGGUUCACCAGACAGACAGAUGCUAGUCAGUGCGCAUUCACAGAGCUCCUGAAGCAGAAAUAGGGCCUGAACCAGACCCAGAAAUUCAGGGAUCGAUCUGAUUCUGUGGUGCCUGCAGGAGCCAUUGUUACUACAUUUCUGUCAACCCCCAAGGAAGCAUGAACUUGUACAUUUGGUUCUGUGACCCGACGAAGAGUAUCUCCUGAGGAUAGCGGGAUCCUACAGUGUUCAAGCUAGGGUACAGAAGACAUGCCCAACAAAAACUUCCUGAAUCAAUGAAGUGAGAGGUGAUAUCAGAAGACAAGCCCAAAGUGAGAUGGUAAAUUACCUGAAGGGCAUCUUUGCGACCCUAUAAUUGUGUAUCUAGGCCCUGGAUUUCCAUUCCUGGAGCCUGUUCUUGCCACUCUAUAUCACUAUUCCAAUUUUCCUGCUUUGUGUCUCAUUUUACCAGGAUCCAGGUCAGGGCACUAAUGGGGAGACUAGUCCCUGAA